GCAAAGAAUGCUGCCUGUUCCAAAGGUUGACGAGUACAGACAAGUGCACUGACCAUCCAUUCGCGGAAGGAACAGCUGGGAGCAGCAAAGCACACUAUAGCGUUCGGCCCAGCCAUGUGCCAACAGAGAGAGAGAGCCUUUGUAAGAUGAUUUCAUAACCGAGCCAAGAAGCAAAAGGGGAGGGAGCAGGAAGAAGAAGGUUGUCUAAAGAGGUGGAGAAACGAAGGUUUACUGGAGAUGCCUUAGAGCAUGGAGAGCAGACUUAUAACUGGAUUUAGAGUCCUGCCUAACCUGUUUUGUGCUACAGGCAUGAAGAUGCAGGCCAAAGUACAAGCAAGGAAAACUAGCCAACCGUAGCUUGCCGAGGCUUACCUCCUCCCUCCCCCAUGUGGCAUUGCUGGACCAAUCAUGAUGCUCCACCCAGCUGUUCGGCUCUACUCCCGCACCCAAUGACUGACAGCAGUGCACUGUUGCUGCAGAAGUUGUCAUCCAUCACUGGAGAAAGAGAGCUGCGCCGUGUACCAGAAACUUUAGACAUCUUAAAACCACACGAGCAUCUGUAUUUCCUCCCUCCACAGCCUGGAUUCUUUCUUAAGGGAGUGCAGGCUAGCACAGUCAUUACCAAAAACAAUUAAAAACUUUUCAAAGCA